CUAUACUGCAAGUCGAGCGGACAGAUGGGAGCUUGCUCCCUGAUGUUAGCGGCGGACGGGUGAGUAACACGUGGGUAACCUGCCUGUAAGACUGGGAUAACUCCGGGAAACCGGGGCUAAUACCGGAUGGUUGUUUGAACCGCAUGGUUCAAACAUAAAAGGUGGCUUCGGCUACCACUUACAGAUGGACCCGCGGCGCAUUAGCUAGUUGGUGAGGUAAUGGCUCACCAAGGCAACGAUGCGUAGCCGACCUGAGAGGGUGAUCGGCCACACUGGGACUGAGACACGGCCCAGACUCCUACGGGAGGCAGCAGUAGGGAAUCUUCCGCAAUGGACGAAAGUCUGACGGAGCAACGCCGCGUGAGUGAUGAAGGUUUUCGGAUCGUAAAGCUCUGUUGUUAGGGAAGAACAAGUACCGUUCGAAUAGGGCGGUACCUUGACGGUACCUAACCAGAAAGCCACGGCUAACUACGUGCCAGCAGCCGCGGUAAUACGUAGGUGGCAAGCGUUGUCCGGAAUUAUUGGGCGUAAAGGGCUCGCAGGCGGUUUCUUAAGUCUGAUGUGAAAGCCCCCGGCUCAACCGGGGAGGGUCAUUGGAAACUGGGGAACUUGAGUGCAGAAGAGGAGAGUGGAAUUCCACGUGUAGCGGUGAAAUGCGUAGAGAUGUGGAGGAACACCAGUGGCGAAGGCGACUCUCUGGUCUGUAACUGACGCUGAGGAGCGAAAGCGUGGGGAGCGAACAGGAUUAGAUACCCUGGUAGUCCACGCCGUAAACGAUGAGUGCUAAGUGUUAGGGGGUUUCCGCCCCUUAGUGCUGCAGCUAACGCAUUAAGCACUCCGCCUGGGGAGUACGGUCGCAAGACUGAAACUCAAAGGAAUUGACGGGGGCCCGCACAAGCGGUGGAGCAUGUGGUUAAUUCGAAGCACGCGAAGAACUUACCAGUCUUGACUCCUCUGACAUCCAAA
rnacentral:rRNA from 1 species